AAAAAAGAAAUAAAACAAAAAAAAACAAUAAAAAUACGUGGAUCAGCCACAAAAGGGCUCGCCUCCACGGGACAUGCAAACUUCACUAUGAAAAAAAAAAAUUUACAAGAGGAGACCUCACCCUCAACCCUUGUACACCCAAUUCUCUCUCACCUGAAGUUCCCCUCACAAAAGCUCUCUCUCUCUUGAAGACCCCCCUGAACCC
rnacentral:lncRNA from 1 species